rnacentral:misc_RNA from 1 species
UAACAAUGACGGGAUCUUGUGGUGC